GCUGCCAGCUCCACUUGUGCCUCCUCCAUUGUUCCCAAGCUCAGGACAGAGCUGAGGAAACCAAGCCCUAGACCCUACAGGGAUGAACAGAGAAGCGAGGAUCAUUUCUCCCAGCACCUUUCUGGGUCCCUCAAGCAGCUGCUGCUGAGGUGCAAAGAGAGCCCCUCUGUGCACACAGCGCUCAGUGUGUGAGAGGAACAAAUGUUUGGGAACAAAACUCCUCAUCCUCACCCCUGUCCUGGAAGGAGCUCGGCUGUGCAGGGCCUGCCUCUGUGCCAGGGACCUGGGCAUGGGAAGGAGGGAAGGAAUCCAGCCAGACUGGCAGGAUUUUCCUGCAGCGUUCAUUCCCAUCCCAAAUCCUGGCCCCACGAGGCACCUGCACCUCCAGAGCUUCGCUGAACUCGUGGGAAAAAAGAGAAGAAUUGGUGAAGAAUUGGUGCUUGGAGGAGGAGCUGACUCGGAGCUGAGCCCGUGCCUCCUUGAAGGCUCCCACAGUGUGUGCAGCUGUGUGCAAAGCCUGAGAUCAGAAAUGCUGAUUUAGAAAUGCCAUGGGACAGGACAGACAUUGCUGAGAGAGAAAUGGAACCAGAAACAAGUUUCAAAGGAUGGCCUUGCAAAAAAAGAUUAGAUACUUUGGAAAAAUGGAACUAUGAAAGAUGCACUGGAGGAGGAGUUACGAGGGGACAGCCUUGAAAGAGAGAGGAAAACAAUCCCUGGAUAGUGGAAUUGCAGCCCAGCACAGUUCCAGAACAGAUGUUGCAUCUCCCUGUCAGUGCUGCUGGAUGUGGCUGCUCAGAAAAACCCCAUGAACAUCCUGGAGACGAGGAAAAUUCCCUCCAAAGCCUGGCCAAGUGUUUCUCUGGCAGCAGACAUUUCCAUGAGGUCACUCUUGGAGCUCCUCCCGUGUCUGGAUGGUUCACAACCAGAAACUUCAAUAUUUUGGGUUUUGUGACCCCUCCUGUGUCCCACUCUGGUCCAGCAUGGGGCAAAAGGGGCUUUGAGUUCCUGCUGGCAUCCUCCAGGAUUUGGGAUCCUGCAGGAUCUGGCUCGGUCUCCAGCUCCCCUGCUCCUUCCAGAGCUGCUCACAGGAAAGUCUUGUCAGCCCUGAUUAAUUAUCAACUGUAACAAAAGAUUAUUCAAGAUUACACAAUUAAUUAUCAACUGUAACAAAAGAUGAUUCCAGGAAUCCCUGCACUAAAACUGUCUGCUUUUUGAUCUGCAAUCCUGGAAAAAUGCUGGAUUCAGGGCAGGGGCAGAGGU